rnacentral:rRNA from 1 species
UGCAUAGGAAUCUACCUAGUAGUAUGGGAUAGCCACUAGAAAUGGUGGGUAAUACUGUAUAAUCCCUGCGGGGGAAAGAUUUAUCGCUAUUAGAUGAGCCUAUGUUAGAUUAGCUAGUUGGUAGGGUAAAGGCCUACCAAGGCAGUGAUCUAUAGCUGGUCUGAGAGGAUGAUCAGCCACACUGGAACUGAGAUACGGUCCAGACUCCUACGGGAGGCAGCAGUGGGGAAUAUUGGACAAUGGGCGCAAGCCUGAUCCAGCUAUGCCGCGUGAGUGAGGAAGGCCUUAGGGUUGUAAAACUCUUUCAGUGGGGAAGAUAAUGACGGUACCCACAGAAGA